UACGAAGGGGGCUAGCGUUGCUCGGAAUCACUGGGCGUAAAGGGCGCGUAGGCGGAUCUUUAAGUCGGGGUGAAAGCCCAGGGCUCAACCCUGGAAUUGCCUUCGAUACUGGAGAUCGUUGAGACCGGAAGAGGUAAGUGGAACUGCGAGUGUAGAGGUGAAAUUCGUAGAUAUUCGCAAGAACACCAGUGGCGAAGGCG
rnacentral:rRNA from 1 species